AGCAUUACAAGACCAAUACUUAAGAAUGAUCAAAUGGGAAAAGGUAACCUAGCACUGGCAGUAAAUAUGGGGCUCAUUUACAGGUCAGAUUUGGAAUCUCUGCUGUAAAAUGAGAUUUUGAAUGAAUUAAAGGGAGGCAAAUCUGUAAUAAAAAGAACAUGCAUACACCGUAGUUGUUUCCCUUGUUUGAACCAUGCUAAAUCCUUACAAGUUUGGAAAGAAUUGGAUGAAAAAUUUGGACUUUAUUGCAUAAACACCAUUUUCUCAAUUCAAGGGAAGGUAAUGCUCAUUUUUUGUAGGGUUCGUGUCCUCAUUGAUAUAAAGACACUGUGCAAAUUUGGAAAGGAUCGGACAAAAAAUGUGGAAGAUUUUUGAAAGUUUUCACAAAAUAGGCAAAAACGAAUAAACAUGCAAAGUUCAACGAGCUCCUGCGGCCAUGUUUUUUGACGAAUCAAAUUUCUUUGAACAACUUUUUCAGGGGAGUCCCUAAAGGUCAUCCCUGUGAAAUUUUUUGAAAAUCUGAUCAGCGGUUUCUGACAAGAAGAUUUUUUAAGGUUUUUACCAUAUAUGGUCAUGGCGGCCAUCUUGGUUAUGUGAUCAAAUUUUUUUUAACAAUUCUUUUGUCCCAUGACCUAGGGAUGCUCCACAUGAAAUUUAGUUGAAAUUGGCUCAAUGGUUUAGUAGAAGAAGAUGUUUACAAAUUGUUUACAGACAGACGGACGGACGGACGGACGGAUGGACGCCGGACGCUGAGUGAUCACAAUAGCUCACCCCGAGCUAUCGCUCAGGUGAGCUAAAAACAAGACACCGUCGGAGACGGUUGAUGCUCCCCAAAGUUGUUUUUUGUUACAAUAUUGCACUAUAUAUUCAGAUAAAAGGAAACGUUUUGAGGGCACAGUAGUUGGGGGGGGGGGACAAUAAUUUUUUAUAGACAAUUUCAAAGGGCCAUAACUCUGUGAAAUAUCAUCUGACCAGAAUCCGCUGAUAAUAUGCACAUCUGCUCUUGGUCGUGAAGCUUCCCAUAAAGUUUCAUUGAAUUCCGGUUAUUAGUUGCUGAGAAAUAGCCAGGACAAGAAUUGCACUAUAUGUACAGUUUAUGGAAAAUUUCAAAGGGCCAUAACUCUGUAAUAAAUCAUCCGACCAGAACCUGCUGAUAAUAUGCACAUCUCCUCUUGGUAAUGAAGCUUCCCAUAAAGUUUCAUUGAAUUCCGGUCAUUAGUUUCUGAGAAAUAGCCCGGACAAAAAUUGUGCACGGACGGACAGACAGACGCAUGGACAGACGAAGCGGUGACUAUAUGCUCCCCAAAAAAUUAAUUUUGGGGGAGCAUAAAAAAGGUUAAUCACAUUUCACAAUACCAUUUGUAAAAAUCAAUUGAAUAUUAUUUUUUUUUAGUAAAUACAAAAAAGUUUUUUUUUUUUUUUACAUGGACUUGUAGAAAAUAAAUUAACGAGUAUACAUAAGCUAAAAUAACAUAUUGGAUUACUUAUGUUAUUUUACGAGUCAUAUUCAUUCAUAUAUAAUCAUUAUAGGAAAUCCGCGAAACAGCGCAUGUGAGGCCCAGUCAUUUGAGCGGAUAGUGUUCCACUUCAUUGUUCCCUAGCUGUAGAGUUGUUGGAGAAAACCCUGUAUUGUUAUGUUACAAAGAUAAUUAAAUAAAGGAGUAGAAUUUA